UACGUAGGGCGCAAGCGUUGUCCGGAAUUAUUGGGCGUAAAGAGCUCGUAGGCGGUUUGUCGCGUCUGCUGUGAAAACCUAAGGCUCAACCUUGGGCUUGCAGUGGGGUACGGGCAGACUAGAGUGCGGUAGGGGGUGACUGGAAUCCUGGUGUAGCGGUGGAAUGCGCAGAUAUCAGGAGGAACAGCCGAGUGGCGAAAGGCAGGUC
rnacentral:rRNA from 1 species